GAAGCUAGGGAGAUGGUCCGAGCUCGAAAUUGAAGCUCACACCACGGAUUUCUCCAUUGUUGAGAUCUAGGGCUCCGAUUUGGGAUUUUAGCAAAUCUAGGGUUUUGAUCUCGUUUGAUGGGUCGCAAACCUAAUUGCUAGGUCUCUGAACGCGUCGGCGAAGAUGGUUCGUCGAUCCGAUGAGCGAGUGCGGAGUUAUCGCCAAAACGAGUGCUUGAAGGUUCGUUUUGCCCCGAGGAGUCGAAGCGACGUACGAGGACCGCGACGUCAAGUAUUCUAGCUUUAUGGCAUUACCACAAGGUGGGGGAGUGCCAUCCCGAAGCAGUCGAACUGCUCUUUAUGUCUGAGUUUUAUCGUCGAUCAAUUGCAUAUUGUAUUAUUGCAUUAUAGGAUGCUAAAUGUAAUUGUUACACACUUUUGCAUGCUAGUAGAGUAGAAUAGAGUUAAGUUGCUUAAUACCUGAAUCUAGUAUGCUUAAUAUAGUGUCGAGUGACUUGAGACCCUAUAAUGAAAGGAUAGUCGGUAAGGAAUGAAUGUGCUUGAGACGAGAACCUAGUAAAAAUGUGACUAAUGUAUCGAGAACUUGUCAAAGGAAUGAGUGGCAUCUAGUUAACCUUAAACAUUCGACGAGUGGCAUCUAGUUAACCUUGAACAUUCGACGAGUGGCAUCUUGUGACAUUAAGUAAGACAAGAGUGGCAUGAGAACACUAGUAUAAUUGAGAUACUAGGUGAUUGACUACUAGAACACCUGAUUUUAUAUUGCUAUCACCCCUGGUCGGUUAGGGCGUUCCUAGUUCAUGAGAUCAGAUCGAGCUCACUUAGCCUGUCUGCACCUGUGGUGGUAGCGCCUCACAGGUAGUGCACUCCGGAGGUUGUCACGCGAGGGGGCCAG
rnacentral:lncRNA from 1 species